rnacentral:rRNA from 1 species
AAAAAUUUGAGUUUGAUCCUGGCUCAAAAGGAACGCUAGCUAUAUGCUUAACACAUGCAAGUUGAACGAUGUAUUCGGGGAGCUAGGUAGAAGGAGAAGAGGCUGAAUGCUUUGUCUCGCCUUUCAAGGUGGGAUCAGUUGAGAAGAAAGUGACAAACAGGUGUGUAACGUGUGGGAAUUUGUCGAACAGUUUGAGCCAAAUCCUGAAGAAAGCUAAAAAGCACUGUUUGAUGAGCCUAUGUUGUUUGAUGAGCCUGUAUAGUAUUAGCUAACCAAGCCAAUGAUGCUUAGCUGGUCUUUUCGGAUGAUCAACCACACUGGGACUGAGACACGGCUCGGACUCCCACGGGGGUAGUAGUAAGGAAUCUUGGACAAUGGGCAAAAGCCCGAUCCAAUAAUAUCGCGUGAGUGAAGAAGGGCACUGCCAAUUGUAAGGCUCUUUCGUCGUGUGCGAUCAUAACAGAACUCGAGGCAGAAGCCCUAGCUAACUCCAUGCCAGCAGCUGCAGUAAGACGAGAGGGCAAGUGUUCUUCGGAAUGGCUGGGCGUAAAAGGCAUGUAGGCGGUGAAUUAGGAUGAAAGUUCAAGUCGCCAAAAACUGGUGGAAUUCUCUCGAAACCCAUUCACUUAAGUGAGAUAGAGGAGAGUGGAAUUUCGUGUGUAGGUGUGAAAUCUGAAGAUCUACGAAGGAAGGAUAAAAGUGAAGGUAGCUCUCUAGGUUCCUACCGACACUGGGGUACAAAAGCAUGGGGAGAGAACAAGAUAAGAUAGCCUGGUAGUCCAUGUCGUAAACGAGUGAGGUGCCAGCGCAACUAAUUGAGUGCCAACACAUAGAAAUCUAUCAGCCAGAAGGGAACCUUAUCUUUUCGAAGGAAGCACUUGAGAGUGUGGGCUUUAGUUUGAUUGCUGCUAGCAUGCUUUACUAAAUCGAUAUUCAAGCGAGCGACCUGGUGUUGUGGUACGAAGUGGAUUUAGUAUUCCCUACCAAAUCGGGUUCUCCCUAUAGUGAAAGGUGCCUGCUGCACUCACGAGGGACUGCUAGUAAGACACUGGUGGAAGGUGGGGAUGACGUCAAGUUUGCAUAGUCCUUACGGGUUGGGCCAUACAUAUGCUACAAUGGCAAUCACAAUGGGAAGCAAGGUUGUAAGACGAAACGAAUUCGAAAAGAUUGCCUGAGUGGAUUGUUCUCUGCAACUCGAGAACAUAAAGUUGGAAUCGUUAGUAAUCGUGGAUCAGCAUCCCGCGGUGAAUAUGUACCCAGGCCCUGGGAAUGGGUUUCACCCGAAGCAUCAGACCAAUGAUCACCCAUGACUUCCAUGUACCACUAGUGCCACAAAGGCUUUUAGUGGUCUUAUUCACGCAUACCACGGUGGGGUCUUUGAUUGGGGUGAAGGGGUAACAAGGUAGCCGUAGCGGAACCUGUGGCUAGAUUGAAUCCUAU